AGUUCAUCAACAGGAUACAGGUCGUUGUCUCCUGCCUGAGAGGAGGACUCCACGUCACUCCAUGAGACAAGCCCCUGAUUGACUGCUCUGCUGUGUGAGCCUGAACCAAGUGUGGCCACCUGUCUGUCUCCGUCUUCUUCAUCCGUCUUUCGGUGUGCAUUGCCGGGUGGCCUUUGCUGGAGCCUAGGACCCACUAGGAAUAUAUAAAUAA